GNAUUUAUUGGGCGUAAAGCGAGCGCAGGCGGUUAGAUAANUCUGAAGUUAAAGGCUGUGGCUUAACCAUAGUACGCUUUGGAAACUGUUUAACUUGAGUGCAGAAGGGGAGAGUGGAAUUCCAUGUGUAGCGGUGAAAUGCGUAGAUAUAUGGAGGAACACCGGUGGCGAAAGCGGCUCUCUGGUCUGUAACUGACGCUGAGGCUCGAAAGCGUGGGGAGCGAACAGGAUUAGAUACCCUGGUAGUCCACGCCGUAAACGAUGAGUGCUAGGUGUUAGGCCCUUUCCGGGGCUUAGUGCCGCAGCUAACGCAUUAAGCACUCCGCCUGGGGAGUACGACCGCAAGGUUGAAACUCAAAGGAAUUGACGGGGGCCCGCACAAGCGGUGGAGCAUGUGGUUUAAUUCGAAGCAACGCGAAGAACCUUACCAAGUCUUGACAUCCCGAUGCCCGCUCUAGAGAUAGAGUUUUACUUCGGUACAUCGGUGACAGGUGGUGCAUGGUUGUCGUCAGCUCGUGUCGUGAGAUGUUGGGUUAAGUCCCGCAACGAGCGCAACCCUUAUUGUUAGUUGCCAUCAUUCAGUUGGGCACUCUAGCGAGACUGCCGGUAAUAAACCGGAGGAAGGUGGGGAUGACGUCAAAUCAUCAUGCCCCUUAUGACCUGGGCUACACACGUGCUACAAUGGCUGGUACAACGAGUCGCAAGUCGGUGACGGCAAGCUAAUCUCUUUAAGCCAGUCUCAGUUCGGAUUGUAGGCUGCAACUCGCCUACAUGAAGUCGGAAUCGCUAGUAAUCGCGGAUCAGCACGCCGCGGUGAAUACGUUCCCGGGCCUUGUACACACC
rnacentral:rRNA from 1 species